CUUUGAAUUAAGUUUGGUUUGACUUUGCUGCACAGUAACAACCUGCAUGUUUCCACACCUAUCUGUAUGUGGGCACAGAGAAGUAGCAGAGAGGAUUGCUCCUGUACUCGCAAUAGAAGGCUCUCUAGGAUGUACACUGCAUGGUUUGGUCACUCCCAAGAAGACGGAAGACUGGAAGAAAAACAACAACAAAACCCCAAGCAGAAUAGCAGAAGGUUGGCUGACAAGAAUUGUCUCUUUCUCCACAACUUUUCUGUGCAACAGCUCUCUGAAGGCAAGAAACAAAGGCACUGUGGUACUGUCCCAUUCUGCUCCUCAAAAAGCCUCUCUGCAAUCACCAAGCAAGCAGAGGGGUAUGCUUCUCAGGGAAGGAGUAACUGGGGAGGGAAGAAAGAAGUAGAGAACAUCAGAAAAAUGCAGAGGAUUUCCCAAAGUUCAUUAUAGAUGCAAAUAUACAUAGGAGGCAAUUAUACCCAGACUCUUAGUUUCAGUCCUGCAUGCUCAAAGACAAUCUUCUAAGCCUUUCUUUUUUAACCUGUCCACAACUGUCAUGAAUUGCUGGAGUUCUUAGCAUCUCCAGCUUUCUUCACUGUCAGAGGGAUUUAGGGGCACUGAAGGCUUCUGAAAGACACCCAUAGAAGAGACCCCCCCAAAAUGAAUAGAGGCUUUCUAUAAAACUGCUCUGUGGUCCCUGGAUUACCCAUACAGUCUGUAAGCUUAUCCAUAUCUUCACAAGGGACCCAGAGACUCUCAGGAGAUUAUGAUACAGCAAAAAUUGGUGUUUCUGGGGAAGAACCUAAUUCAACCUCAGUUUUCAUUACUAAUUAGAAAAAUGACACACAAAGUUAAAUGAACUUUACCUCCCAAUCCAGUGAUGCUAUUUGUCCUUAAAUCAGCUACCCACAGACUGUGUUCUCAUUCCCUGAAGCAGAUAAGUGAGAGCUUGGAGCCCAAGGUGCAGGGAGGGACAUCAUCUCCUCCGGCGGUGCACGGCAGGCAGAGCCAUCAUCUCUGGGCAGCUAAGUGCAGAACGAGGGGAUCCACAUGGAAAUAGCUGGCAACUGUAGAGGGAUACAGAAAUACCCCUAUUCAGUUUCUGUUGCUUUCCUAAAUGCACCAGGGCAUAAAUGGCAUAGGUGGUAGAGGAACAACUGGACCCCUUAGAAGCAGGGUAGAACUUAGUGUUGAAUGAGUUCAGACGCCUUCCUAUAGUGCACUUAUGGCUUGAUUUCCAGUCAUUUCUUCUCACAAGUGCAAAAAGGACAUCGUUGCUUAGGCUAUUUCCCUGCUUCCUAUGGCUUGCACUGUUCAAUUCACAUUACAGUUAAAUAAUAAAAUCUAUUUCUUCAAACA
ensembl:lncRNA